rnacentral:rRNA from 1 species
UACGUAGGGGACGAGCGUUGUCCGGAUUCAUUGGGCGUAAAGCGCGUGUAGGCGGCUUGUUAAGUCCGCUCUGAAAGCCCGGGGCUCAACCCCGGGAGGCGGGUGGAUACUGGCAAGCUCGAGUCCGGAAGAGGCGAGUGGAAUUCCUGGUGUAGCGGUGAAAUGCGCAGAUAUCAGGAGGAACACCUAUUGCGAAGGCAGCUCGCUGGGACGUUACUGACGCUGAGACGCGAAAGCGUGGGGAGCAAACAGG